UGAGGAAUAUUGGGCAAUGGAGGCAACUCUGACCCAGCCAUGCCGCGUGCAGGAAGACUGCCCUAUGGGUUGUAAACUGCUUUUAUACGGGAAGAAACAGUCCUACGUGUAGGAUCUUGACGGUACCGUAAGAAUAAGCACCGGCUAACUCCGUGCCAGCAGCCGCGGUAAUACGGAGGGUGCAAGCGUUAUCCGGAAUCAUUGGGUUUAAAGGGUCCGCAGGCGGUCAAUUAAGUCAGAGGUGAAAUCCCACAGCUUAACUGUGGAACUGCCUUUGAUACUGGUUGACUUGAGUUAUACGGAAGUAGAUAGAAUGUGUAGUGUAGCGGUGAAAUGCAUAGAUAUUACACAGAAUACCGAUUGCGAAGGCAGUCUACUACGUAUAUACUGACGCUCAUGGACGAAAGCGUGGGGAGCGAACAGG
rnacentral:rRNA from 1 species